UUGGCCGCUGUGUUGACACGCUCUGCACCUUGCUCCUGCCCUCGCCUUUCACUCUUCUUAUCCCCCCGAUACCCCGAUCAUUCCUGACAGCUCCUGAGUGCCUGGAUUUCAUCAUCCAGCCCUGCAGGAUGCUCCCAUUUGUCCUGAGGAAGGCUGUCCCAGACGGAGAGGAGGAGAUGGAGGUGGAUACAGAGAUUGAUAGAGAGGAGGACAUGGAGAUGAAGGGAGAAGGCACUGGAGAGGAGGAGAUGGAGGUGGAGGUGGAGGUGGAAGAGGAGAUGGAAGUGGAUAUGGAAGAGUCCAUUGAGGACAUGGACAUUGAUUGAAAAGGUGCAAAGUCCAGAUGGAUUUCAAUGAAGAAUGUGUAACUCUAUCAAGAGCAAGAGAAACGUUGACCAUUCAACAAGCAAAGAAGACAGACAGAUAUUGGACAUGCUGUCUCAAGAUGUACAAAGUGUAAAUCAUGCAGUAUUGCAGAAUAGAGCAGCAAUGUAUGCUAUAGGGAUAUUAGGUGUAAUAGUAUUGCUAAUGCUUGUAUUACCAUGCUUGCUUAAUUGCGUACAAAGAAUAGUGAGUCAGAUGAUGGGAAGGGCUUGGAAAACAACACUUCUGGCCCAAAAAGAAAACGGGGGAAAUGUUGGGAGCUUUGUAACAAGCUAGCUCCGAGCUAAAGGUCACUGUGAGAUUAAUUUGACUGAGAUAGAGAAUGAGGGGAGUUGCCAUUCCAAUUAAACUGUGUCCCUGGCC